GACGAACGCUGGCGGCGUGCUUAACACAUGCAAGUCGAACGGAGAAGCUCCAGCUUGCUGGCGUGGAUCAGUGGCGAACGGGGGAGUAACACGUGAGCAAACUGCCCCUGACUCUGGAAGAAGCGCUGGAAACGGCGGCGAAUACUGGAUACGAGAAGGGUCCGCAUGGGCACCUUCUGGAAAGUUGUGCUGUUGGGUAUGGUCUCGCGGCCUAUCAGCUUGAUGGGGAAGUAAGCGCGCACCAGGGCGACGACGGCUAGCCGGCCUUAGAGCGCGACCGGCCACACUGCGCCUGCGGCACGGCGCAGACUCCUACGGGAGGCAGCAGUGGGGAAUUUUGCACAAUGGGCGCAAGCCUGAUGCAGCGGCGCCGCGUGCGGGAUGACGGCCUUCGGGUUAAAAACCACUUUCUGCAGGGCAGAAGCGAACGUGACGGUACCUGAAGAAGAAGCACCGGCUAACUACGUG
rnacentral:rRNA from 1 species